rnacentral:rRNA from 1 species
GACGUAGGGCGCGAGCGUUGUCCGGAUUUAUUGGGCGUAAAGAGCUCGUAGGCGGCUUGUCGCGUCGUCCGUGAAAACUUGGGGCUCAACCCCAAGCUUGCGGUCGAUACGGGCAGGCUAGAGUUCGGUAGGGGAGACUGGAAUUCCUGGUGUAGCGGUGGAAUGCGUAGAGAUCGGGAAGAACAUCGGUGGCGAAGGCGGCCUGCUGGGCUCUUGCUGACACUGAGGCGCGACAGCGUGGGGAGCAAACAGG